rnacentral:rRNA from 1 species
AGAAUCAACGCUGGCGGCGUGCCUAACACAUGCAAGUCGAACGCGGUUACUUCUGCUUCGCAAGAAGUAGUGGUGACUGAGUGGCGAACGGGUGAGUAACACGUGGGUGACCUGCCUUCGAGUGGGGGAUAACGUUCCGAAAGGGACGCUAAUACCGCAUGAGAUCCUGCCUUUGAAGAGGCGGAGAUUGAAGCUGGGGAUCGUAAGACCUGGCGCUUGAAGAGGGCCCGCGUCCGAUUAGCUAGUUGGUGGGGUAACGGCCUACCAAGGCGACGAU